UUUCAAAUAAGAUUAUGAAGCAUAUUAUAAUUCAAUGUGCUAUAUAUAGAUUAUACAAAGGCGAUUGAGGAUCGAACGAGGUAAUUCAACAAAUGAGAAUACGUGAAGGAUGCUUGAUGAGCGUAUAUCGAUUUAUGCAAUCAAAGGCAAGUUUUUCAGUUCUAUUAUGUUUGUGGAUUAAAUGUGAUUAUGCGGUGAGUUACAUAUAUACCAUGCUUUAUGAAUUGUUAAAGUCAAAAUAUGACGAAGUUAACUGGGUUAUGGAACUCAAUUUAUAUGUGAUAUGUGAUAGCAGAUGUUGUAUGAUGUAACUCGAUAAAUUAGAAAUAUAUAAUGCGUAAAUGUAUGCUUUGUAAGGAAUUAUUAAUGCAUAUAGGAUAUGCAUAGUAAAAGAAAUGUAGUGCAUAUGGAAUUGUGUGAUAUGUGAAACAUGAUAGACUGUUAUAUUUGCUGGGUUGUCGAGCUUAAUCUUUCAAACACAAACUUUUUGCAGGUUAAUAAUGUUGAGCGAUAUUACUUGCUAUACGGAUGAUGAAGAUUGAACGAUGUGCAAAAUGAAUACACAUCUUUGAAUUAGAAAUGGUAUAAAGCUAUGAUUGAUAGUUUUGCUAAAUGUAAUUGGCAGUUAUGUAUAGUUUGAAAUGUUGAAUAGAUAAAGAAUGUUUAUUCUGAAAUGAAAAUAGAUAUGAUUCUGAAAUAAGUGAAUCAUCGAUAGAAAAGAUAUGAAGUAUUGAGACAUAAUCUUUUAAUACGUU
rnacentral:lncRNA from 1 species